AGGAGGUGAUAACGCGGCACAGAAGUAGAGUCUUUAACUUAUAUGAUGGUGACGGCAGCAUCAGUGUCAUUUCCAGAGUGGAAGGUAGAGGAAGUGUAACUGAGAGAAGUGAAAAUACAGAGCUACGAGGAGACGGAGAGAUUCAGGGAGGAGCUGAGCUGUUACUGAACUAUAGAAGAGAGAGGAACUUCCACAUUCAGCAGAGUUCAAUACACAAACCAGAAACAUUACCUUUAUUCAACAUGCUGUCACUGGACUAUUAUGGACUUUCUCUACUGUUACUAUCCAUUCUAACAGGUGUCAGCUGUGAAGAACUCACUCCAGUCAAGAAUGAAGAGUUCAGUUUAGAAGGCAGCACUGUUACUCUGUCCUACAAAUACUCCAAAUCAGAAAUUGGUAGUGAUUAUUUCUUCUGGUAUCGACAAUAUCCAGGAAAACCACCAAAGUUCCUCAUCUCUCAUUUCGGAACAGGAAGACAAAUUUCAGAUUCGGUCCCUGGACUGUCUGUUAAAGUGAGUGAGGAUAAAACCCGAAUGGAUCUGCAGAUCUCCUCUGCUGCAGUGACAGACUCUGCUCUGUACUACUGUGCUGUGAGGCCCACAGUGACAGCAAACCCACAGUCUCUGUACAAAAACACAAGCUGACACACUGACAAGCUGCUGGAAGCCUUUUUUCCACACUGUUGUACUGAAGUUUUGACCUCCACUAGAGGGCGACAUUAUCAAGUAGGCGGUGCACUACUUCUGCACUGUGUUCAACCGUUGUGUCAAUAAUAACUGCU